GACAGAGGGUGCAAACGUUGUUCGGAAUUACUGGGCGUAAAGCGUGCGCAGGCGGCUCCUUAAGUCAGAUGUGAAAGCCCCGGGCUUAACCUGGGAACUGCGUUUGAAACUACAAGGCUAGAGUGUGGCAGAGGGGGGUGGAAUUCCACGUGUAGCAGGUGAAAUGCGUAGAGAUGAUGGAGGAACACCGAUGGCGAAGGCGGCGUCCUGGACCAACACUGACACUGAGGUGCGAAAGCGUGGGGAGCAAACAGG
rnacentral:rRNA from 1 species